GGCCCGCCGAAAGGCCGGCC
rnacentral:misc_RNA from 1 species